UACGUAGGGUGCGAGCGUUGUCCGGAAUUAUUGGGCGUAAAGAGCUCGUAGGCGGUCUGUUGCGUCGGCUGUGAAAACCCGGGGCUCAACCCCGGGCCUGCAGCCGAUACGGGCAGACUAGAGUUCGGCAGGGGAGACUGGAAUUCCUGGUGUAGCGGUGAAAUGCGCAGAUAUCAGGAGGAACACCGGUGGCGAAGGCGGGUCUCUGGGCCGAUACUGACGCUGAGGUGCGAAAGCGUGGGGAGCAAACAGG
rnacentral:rRNA from 1 species